rnacentral:rRNA from 1 species
AUGAAUACCGAAGGGAACGGGCAGAGUGUUCUAAGCACAUUACCCAAGGAACUACCGUUAGACUUCUUGAGGACUAUCACAAAUCAGUUCUCAGAGGACCGUGUUCUUGGUACAGGUGCAUUUGGAACAGUUUAUACGGGAAUUCUGCCAGAUGGACAACACAUUGCUGUGAAGAGGCUUUCCGAAAAUGCUCCCCUCCCACGUGACAAAGCAAUUACCAAUGAGGUUCAGAAUAUCAUGGCUCUCAAACAUGACAACAUAGUAAAGCUGGUUGGGUUUUGCCAUGAAGGACAGAAGAAAGUAGUACUGAACAAUGGGAGGUAUAUUGUUGCAGAUGUUUUUGAAAGCCUACUCUGCUAUGAGUAUUUACCCAAGGGAAGCCUUCAGAAGAACCAUUUUGACAGAUCCAAUAGCAUGGCUUGGGACACACGCUUCAAAAUAAUCAAGGGGAUCUGCAAUGGUUUACUUUUCCUUCAUAGGAUUCCCAUUAUCCAUAUGGACCUCAAGCCCGAAAAUAUAUUGUUGGAUGACAACAUGAACCCAAAAAUCGCGGAUUUUGGACUUUCCAGGCUCUUUGGCCAAGAACAAACACGGGCGAACACGCAGAAUGUUGUGGGAUCAUACGGAUACAUAGCUCCAGAAUAUUUGUACAGAGGUGAAAUCUCCACCCAGUCGGACAUAUAUAGUUUAGGCCUACUAAUCAUCGAGACUACCACUGGCGAGAAGAAUCAACCCAACCAGAACGAACCGUCAGCAAGGGAUUUUAUUGAAAAUGUACGUCAAAAUUGGACAGACGGGCGCAUAGCAUCCAGAUACUCAAUGUUAAAGGCAAAUGACCUCCAGGAAAUAAAAGUAUGCAUUAAAAUUGGUCUAGAGUGUGUGCAGAUUGAUCGGAAGAAGAGACCUUCCAUUGAAAAUAUUGUUAAGAGGCUCGAAGGACGCUGUGCAAACUGA